rnacentral:rRNA from 1 species
UACAGAGGGGGCAAGCGUUAUUCGGAAUUAUUGGGCGUAAAGGGCGCGUAGGCGGCUUUUCAAGUGACGGGUGAAAUCCCUCGGCUUAACCGAGGAACUGCCUGUCAGACUGGAAGGCUUGAGACCGGGAGAGGUGAGUGGAAUUCCCAGUGUAGCGGUGAAAUGCGUAGAUAUUGGGAGGAACACCAGUGGCGAAGGCGGCUCACUGGACCGGAACUGACGCUGAGGCGCGAAAGCUAGGGGAGCGAACGGG